GACGAACGCUGGCGGCGUGCUUAACACAUGCCAGUCGUACGGUAAGGCCCUUUCGGGGGUACACGAGUGGCGAACGGGUGAGUAACACGUGAGUAACCUGCCCACAACUUUGGGAUAACGCUAGGAAACUGGUGCUAAUACUGGAUAUGUGCCCCUGCUGCAUGGUGGGGGUUGGAAAGCUCCGGCGGUUGUGGAUGGACUCGCGGCCUAUCAGCUUGUUGGUGGGGUAGUGGCCUACCAAGGCGGCGACGGGUAGCCGGCCUGAGAGGGUGACCGGCCACAUUGGGACUGAGAUACGGCCCAGACUCCUACGGGAGGCAGCAGUGGGGAAUAUUGCACAAUGGGCGCAAGCCUGAUGCAGCAACGCCGCGUGCGGGAUGACGGCCUUCGGGUUGGAAACCGCUUUCAGCAGGGACGAAGCUUUUUGUGACGGUACCUGCAGAAGAAGCACCGGCUAACUACGUG
rnacentral:rRNA from 1 species